AUUGAACGCUGGCGGCAGGCCUAACACAUGCAAGUCGAGCGAGGGGCGGGCGGGUGUGUAACGUGUGGGGACUGCCCUAUGGAUGGGGAUAACUACUGGAAACGGUGGCUAUUACCGCAUAGUUGCGGAUAACCCAUAUGGGAUUAGCUAGUAGGUGGGGUAAAGGCUCACCUAGGAGACGAUCUCUAGCUGGUCUGAGAGGAUGAUGAGCCACACUGGGACUGAGACACGGCCCAGACUCCUACGGAGGCAGCAGUGGGGAAUAUUGCACAAUGGGCGCAAGCCUGAUGCAGCCAUGCCGCGUGUAUGAAGAAGGCCCUAGGGUUGUAAAGUACUUUCAGUAGGGAGGCGUUACCGACAGAAGAAGCACCGGCUAACUCCGUGCCAGCCGCCGCGGUAAUAC
rnacentral:rRNA from 1 species